GCGAACCUGCGAAGGCAAGCGGAUCUCUUAAAGCCGUUCUCAGUUCGGACUGUAGGCUGCAACUCGCCUACACGAAGCUGGAAUCGCUAGUAAUCGCGGAUCAGCACGCCGCGGUGAAUACGUUCCCGGGCCCUUGUACACACCGCCCGUCACACCAUGAGAGUCUGUAACACCCAAAGCCGGUGGGAUAACCUUUAUAGGAGUCAGCCGUCUAAGGUAGGACAGAUGAUUAGGGUGAAGUCGUAACAAGGUAGC
rnacentral:rRNA from 1 species